rnacentral:tRNA from 1 species
AAUGGUUAAGCACUCAGCUGCUAACUGAAAGGUUGGUGGUUCAAAUCCACCAGCCAUUC